UACGUAGGGUGCAAGCGUUGUCCGGAAUUAUUGGGCGUAAAGAGCUCGUAGGCGGUUUGUCGCGUCUGCUGUGAAAUCCCGAGGCUCAACCUCGGGCCUGCAGUGGGUACGGGCAGACUAGAGUGCGGUAGGGGAGAUUGGAACUCCUGGUGUAGCGGUGGAAUGCGCAGAUAUCAGGAAGAACACCGAUGGCGAAGGCAGAUCUCUGGGCCGUAAACUGACGGCUGGAGGAGCGAAAGCCAUGGGGAGCGAACAGG
rnacentral:rRNA from 1 species